rnacentral:lncRNA from 1 species
CCACUCCCGGCUCCUCAAUAAACCACCAACUGAAGCUAGGACCAAGUGGCCUGUCUGCGCCCCAACCCUGUGCGGAACCGUCCAUCCUCUGGCCUCAGAGGGCUUCCAGGGCGUCGGGCUCCUGUCUGCGUUUUACAGAAGAGGUAACAGAGGCACUGAGUGGGGGAGGCCUGACCUCAGCGGGCCCUGCAGCUGUCGGGGGCAGGGCCAGCGCUCCAGACAGAGGUGGCUCUGACUCCCAGCGGCCCCGUCCCCUCAGCCCCUCUGUGUCCUGUACCGCCUGGCACCGUGUUGGCACCAGCCGUGUUUACUCAGUGCUGGACCCGAGAGAGCAGAGCCCUCCCUGCCUGGCUCGGGCUCAGCUCUCCAUCUUGCACAUCAGCCUCUCAAACAAGUGUCUGUGGGGGGUGGGGAGGACAAGGUGGCCUCAGGCCAGCGCUCAGGCUUCCAGGGCCUCCAGUCUGGCUGGGCACAAGCUGACCACAGAGGAGACAAAAGGGAGGCAUCCAAGGACAAGACCUAAUUGUGGAGCUCCCAGCUCCAUAGCCACCUGGGGCCAAGACCCCAAGGCUGGGAUUCCAGGCUGGGACACAACCCUUGCUGAUGUCUCCAGAGCCUGGACAGCAUCUGGUACCCUGAACCCCAGUACAGCCACUCAGAAAAAGGGGCAGGCUCCCUCUUCAUAGGAGAAGAAGUUGAGGCCCCCAGAGGGAACAGGGUGGCCCAGGCCAUGUCCAAGAAUGUGCUAGAUGGGGUUUCUUUCUACUCAUUCACUACACCCAGCCUGGGAGGGGACCCAGGGGUGCGGGGGCCACCGUUCCUGAGGCCACAAGAGCAGACUUGGAAGUAGCCACUGGCUCUGCCAGAGGUCCAUCUGCGUCACCUGCCAGGCCUGUGACCCAACUCACCAACAUCUUCCCUGAGACUCUGCAGGCCCCCUGGGAGAGAAGCGCUCUCUCUGCUGGGGGUCUGAAGCCAGCAGACAGGGCUUGGAGCUGCUGGGCGCCAUCUUGGUCUUGCCCUGCCCAGCUGCCAGAGGACAACCCAGCCCAGAGAAGCCCGUACCUGAGAGAGGAGGACCCUGCCCACCUGAGCCGUCACCGGCACACCUGAAUUCAGAGGUACCUCAGGCCAGGCCAUCCCAAGAUGCUGGGCACCAGAGCCAGUACAGCAGAAGCUGAGUGGGGCUGUUCUGUCACCUGUGGCUCAGGAGUUUGGAGCCCACUCUCCCUAUGUCACACCCCAAAGUCCCUCCCUCCAUGACAGAGCUGGCUUUUCCUGGGACCCUGAAGAGGGGACACUGCCUAUGGCCAGGAGCAUAGUCCUGGAGCUCAGUGGCAUGGCUUUGGCAGUGAGGUCCACUGCUUCAUGGCACAUGGGGACAAGGACAGUGGAUGGAAGGAGAUGGAGAGAGUGCUCAGUGGUGGCCACUGUAUCCACUGGUGUCCCAACAAAAAGGCAUGGCACCUUUGGGACAAUUCCAGAAGAGUCUAUUGAAGGUGGGGGUGGAGGGGAACCGGCACAGGAGAAAGAAGGACCCUGGGGAUGGUAAUGGCAGAGGAGAGCCAUAACCCAAAUCCAGAGCCAGAGGACGCCCCGAGGGCAGCAGCAACCUGUGCUCGAGGGACAGGGCCAGCCCAAGAGGGCCUUUCAGUGAGCUGAACUACACCCCAGAGAGUCUCGUCCACCCAAAACUCUGGAAGGUGACCUUAUUCAGAAAUAGGCUCUUUGCAGAUGCAACUAGGUAAGACUCCGAAUGUGCUCGACGGGGUUCCAAUCUGCUCGUUCGGCACACGAGAGCCUCGGUGGGGACCAGGCUGAAGUUACCCCUGCUGGCCCUACGAGAAGAGAGGACACUGAGAGAAGAAGAGCAGACGGCCAUGUGAGGACAGGGGCAGAGAUGGCAGUGAUGUGACACAAACCAGGGGAGCUGGGGCCACGAAGCUGGAAGAGCCCAGGAGGGGUGUGGCCCUACUUUGGAGACCGCUGGCCUCCUGGGCUGAGUGAGUGGGCCUUGUCUUAAGCCGCUCCACUUGGUGAUAAGGGCAGCUCCAGGAGUGCAGACCUCAGGGGAGGGGACCAGGUGGGUGAGUACCCUGUCCUCGGCCCCCUCCCUCUCUCUAGCCUGUCCUGGGGCUUCCCAACUAGAAGGUGGAGGUCAGGGGAGCCCAGGUGGGGCCUACAGAGCUCAGCCUGAGGCGGGAAGCAGGACCAGGGUGGGGCCGGGCCCAGAAGAUGACAGGGAUAGUUACUGUUCCAGUGACACCCCACCCAGAUGCCCGCCAGACACCUGUGGCUCUCCCGUUCCCACUGAGGUGGGGCCUUGAUGGAGGCCUACCCACCUCCCCGGGUCAGGAGUGGUGUUGGCCUCUGGGCCCAUUUCCUCCCUCUGCUUGUCACGUGGGCAUCCAGGAAGUUUCUCCAGAGAUCCAGCUGCACUUCCCCUCCCAUGCCCACCUGCCCUCUGCCCUGGACCAUCCGGGAAGAAGACAGAAAAGAGGGUUUCCAUCCACAGCAGGGGGCCCAGGCAGGUGUCCCCUGCAGAAGGGCAAGGCCAAAGGAGUUUCGAGAGCUUCGCUUCCAUCUUUCCCCAGCUCCUCCACCCAGAGAAAACAGCAGCCCCCUAACCCCCAGGCUCCAGGUCCCAGAAGCCCUCACACACCCCAAACUGGCUUCAAGGCCCCCGGACUGAGUGACCAAAGUGAGUCCCCACACGUUUCCUAACCACAAAGUGCCAGGGAAAGACUGUGCUCAGGGCUCUCAGGCUUCCAGCACCCCGACACACACACACACACACACACACACACUGCACGUCACAGAUGGAGGACACUCACGCGGGCGAUGCUCAGAGUCUCAUGGAUGCUCCCCAGUGAAACUGCACAGAAAUUCAUAAGCACCCAGGAAACACUUACCAGGCUGCAGACAAAGUGGGCCGAGGCACUGCAGCUGGGACUCCUCCCACUUCUGUCCCACCCAAGGGAACAUCUCAAUACUAGGGUCAGGAGUGGCAUUCUCAGGGACUGAAUCCCAUCUCACGCAGAUUUGAGCAAAAUGGGAUUUAUUGGCUCCUGUAUCAGAAAAGUUCAGGACCAGAUGAAUUGGGUCUUGACAGGGUCCUCAGGGAGCACCCUGUCACCUCCCAGGCACAGGGUCCCUGGAUUUCCCACACAGCCCCAUCUUGAGGUAGGUGAGUUGUCACCUGAGUGGCCUGAUGGCUGCAGCCAUUCCAGGCUUACCUGGACCCUCAGCCACCUCAGAGGGAGGGUGACUCUCUCUUCCCCACGACGUCCACACACAAGCCAAAGCAGAGCCCUGUGGACACGGCCUCCUGCCCUGAGGCCAAGGAGAAGCUCUUGUGCUUGUUUGAAUUUUCUGGUCACACGGUCCAGCCAGGAGCCGGAGAGGGGUCAGCUCUACCCAGACCCAGCACUGAGAGGGGAGGGGGCAAAGGAAGAUCCAGGAGCUUCUGCCAGGAGAAGGGGAGGGACACCAGGCAGUGGACAGGACCAGAGACGGCCCUGGCGGGUUUCCUGCGGAUGCCAUGGCCAACGGCCAGGCUCAGUGGCUUAAGACAACACAGGGGCUACUCUUGGUUCUAGAGGCCGGUGCUGGUUCUUUCUGGAGGCUCCAGGGAGAGUCUAGAGGCCACCUGCAUUCCUGGGCUGGCUGCCCCUCCUCCAUCUGCAACGCCAGAAGAAGGCAGAGUCUCAAGUCUCUUCCUUUCUCUCUCUGUGUGCCUUUCUAUGCAUCUGUCUCUGUGGGUCUCUGUCUGUCUCUCUCCUUGUCUCUGCUCCUCCUGCCUGUCUCUUGAAGGACCCACAGGUUCUGGUGAUGAGGAUGGGGGUGUCUUCAGGGGGCCAUGUUCUGUCCACCACAUCCUCUCAUAAUCAGACAAAUGGGCUUAUAGUCAAGCCCUCGCUCUGACUGAUGGGAAAUGGUCAGCCCUGCCUCCGUGGUCACCAGAAAGUUAGCCUCCUGUCAUCACAAAUGCUGCCCCUGACCUUCCCUGUGCACACAGGGCCCAGCACUCAGGCCAGUGGCAGACAGAGAGCCCACCAAAGGCACCAGGACAUGGCAGAGCAGAGGUUCAGUGGCCAGACACAAGGGGACAUCAUGCCGUCACUGUUCAUAGUUUCAGAGUACCAGGAAGUCACAGCAAAAUCCAACUGGGGUCAGGAUCUGACGCGAGUUGAGAGACAGCCUCACCAGGCCCUCGGCAGAGUUUGCACUGACAUAUUCCAAACCAAUAAAGAGCUUUAAGAUUAAAAAAGA